rnacentral:rRNA from 1 species
GUGGGGAAUAUUGCACAAUGGGGGAAACCCUGAUGCAGCGACGCCGCGUGAGUGAAGAAGUAUUUCGGUAUGUAAAGCUCUGUCAGCAGGGAAGAAAAUGACGGUACCUGACCAAGAAGCCCCGGCUAACUACGUGCCAGCAGCCGCGGUAAUACGUAGGGGGCAAGCGUUAUCCGGAUUUACUGGGUGUAAAGGGAGCGUAGACGGUGAUGCAAGUCUGAUGUGAAAGCCCGGGGCCCAACCCCGGGACUGCAUUGGAAACUGUAUGGCUGGAGUGCAGGAGAGGUAAGUGGAAUUCCUAGUGUAGCGGUGAAAUGCGUAGAUAUUAGGAGGAACACCAGUGGCGAAGGCGGCUUACUGGACUGUAACUGACGUUGAGGCUCGAAAGCGUGGGGAGCAAACAGG